rnacentral:rRNA from 1 species
UACGUAGGGUGCGAGCGUUAAUCGGAAUUACUGGGCGUAAAGCGUGCGCAGGCGGUUUUGUAAGUCAGAUGUGAAAUCCCCGGGCUUAACCUGGGAACUGCGUUUGAAACUACAAGGCUAGAGUAUGGGAGAGGGCAGUGGAAUUCCCGGUGUAGCGGUGAAAUGCGUAGAUAUCGGGAGGAACAUCAGUGGCGAAGGCGGCUGCCUGGCCCCAAUACUGACACUCAGGGUGCGACA